AGACUCUUCACUCUUCUCACCUGAAAAGUUCAGAGAGUAAAGAAAAAAUUUAGUAAGAGAGAGGGUUCAUAACGGCGACGAGAGUAAACAUAUAUGAACAAAUCAGAGUCUCGACUCAGCACGAACCCUUACCUUGUCUUUUGUCCGCUUCACUUCAAGUUCCGUUUCACCGAGUGAGUUUGAUUGAAUCUGCUUAAAGUUUGAUUUUUUUUAUUUUCUUUUCAAUGUUACUUCUCCUCUAGGGUGGAGAAGUUGCUUUCUUCAUAGAAUCGGGGAUGAUGCACUAUAUGACGCAGCAACAACUACGAUGGAAUAUGUGGAGUUAUUGACAACCAAGCUUGCUUUGUGUAAAGUUAUCAUAUAACUGUGGACAACACUUUAUCCCCUGCCCGUGUGGAUAUCAUCAUCGCAAAACCAGUUGGAGAUGUUACAUGUCCUCCAAAAGCAUGACAAAAUUGGAGUGUACAAUUGAAAAGACUAUCUCUUUUUUCAGUUCCAGAAUUUAUAUACAUCACGUUUCAGCUCAUUUGGUUCCUACUCUAGCUUUCCAGGUCUCCGUGGGUGGUGGUUUACUCGCUGCUCGGUUAUAUUUGAAUUAUCUUGUUACAGGAGGUUUUCUUCAACAUUGGCGAAUCUAUAGAGACUGGAGAUACUGACUGAUUCAGGAUGCUAACGCAAAGGCGAUAGCAAAUAUCAGACUUCUAAAUUUGAAUUCGUUUAUGGGAAAUCUGCUUAUUACCAGUUGGUGAUAGUCCCGACCCAAUACGGCUUCCUUGUCUACAGACAUGGCCAGGUUGUUUCUGUAAUAGAUUGGAGCUCAAAGUCCAAUAAAAAUCGUCACUGCUUCACAUGACAGGCACAAACUUGCAAGUUCAGGUUCGUGUGGAGUCUUGGAAGGACGUGAAUGGGUACCAGCUUUCGUGUUAGCUAAAUCAUGUUGCCCUUUGUGUCCUAAGUAGUCCAAAAGCAUGGCCAAGUUGUUUUUGUAAAAGAUUGGAGCUCAAAGGCCAACAAAAUCGUCACUGCUUCCCAUGACAAGAACUUGUAUGUGUGGAGCCUGGAACGGAGGUGAAUAAGUAGCAACUCCUGUGUUAGCUAAAUUGGGCUGCCUUUUGUUUCCUAUGGUCUAUGGAGGUCAAAAGUGACAUUGUUCGAAUCCGUGCAGCAUGGCCAUGGUUUGUAAUAGAUUGGAGCUAAAAGUCCAACAAAAUCCUCACUGUUUCCUAUGAAAGGAACUUGUACGUGUGGAGCCUGGAGAGGAGGUAUAUGGCAUGGCCAAGUUAAUUUUGGAAUAGAUUGGAGCUCAAAGUCCAAUAACACUACUUCCCAUAACAGGAACUUGUUUGGAAUGUUUCUUGAAGGUAAGUGUGGAGCCUGUAAAGGAGGUGAAUGGGUACCAGCUUUCGUGUUAGCUAAAUCAUUCUGCCCUUUGUGUCUUAUGGUGUCCAAAAGUACGUCUUCCUUGUCUGGUUCAGCUGCCAAUUAACAAAGCUUCAUCUUCUGUGGCCAAUGUUGAUGAGUAGAAGUGGAAGUUAGAGAUUCUGUUGGCCAAUGAUAGCGAAAAAGAUAUUGUUUCCAGAGACAAAAGGGAUUGAAGGGUAAUGCGAAGAUUUCAAAUAUUGUCAAGAGAAUGGGACUGUACAGUGAGAUGUACGGAAAAGUGAUUGUCACAAGCAAGGUUCCUCUUCCCAAUUACCGGCCAGAUUUGGAUGAUAAGCUACCACAACAGGAGGUGGUACUUCCUUUGAGUUUGGAAAGAAGGGUAGAGAGACUCCUGCAGGAACACCUUGAUAGACGGCAGCUAAGCUCAAGAAAGGUUAAUGAAGGUUCUUAACCUCCUAAACAGAUUGAAGAACUUCCAAAAUGAAAGCAUACGGAUGGUUCUGUUAUGAAGAAAUGUACAUCAGAGGAGAAGUAUGCAGAGAGCCUGGCAAGUAUUACUGAAUCACAUUUACCUCGAGCCUCUUAUCUUUUCAUCAAAGGUUUUUUUUUAUUAAGCAAUAGUUGUUUGGUUGAAUAAUUGGAAUCUCCUGAGCGAAGGACGAUGCUGGAAUUCCGGAAAUCUUUGCCUUCAUUUGUGGACAAAGAAAGACUUCUUCAAGCUAUUGCUCGGAACCAGGUGGAAUUUUACUGCGAUUGGAAAUUCAUCUUAUUGUCUUUGACUUUUAAAAUUCUCAGGCAAUAGUUGUAUCUGGGGGGCCUGAAUGUGUUAAGACAACUCAACUUCCGCAAUACAUUUUGGAAUCAGAGAUAGAGUCUGGUCGAUGAGCAUUUCAGAAGACAACCUAGGAGAAUGUCUGCCAUGGAAAUUUCAGAAAGAGUGUCAGCUGAGAAGAAACUCUUGGUGAAACGGUUAGCCGAGAUGCUUAAGCUUUAUUUGAUGAAACUGGAAUUAACCGAAGAUUUCGUAAUUAUAGUGUUAAAGAGCUUCUUUCCACGGCGUCCAGAUCUGAGAUUGAUUCUCAUGAGUGUCACUUUAAAAGCUGAACUCUUUUCUAAUGAGUUUCACAGAGAUCCUUAUCUGGUGAAGAGGGUUAGCGCAGCUACUGCAGUCGAUGUCAGAGCAACUGAAAUUCCAUACACAUUUGCUCCUUGCAUUGCAGUAAAGAUUCUGUAUUCUGGAUCUUAUAAGUUCUCACCAUCUGCCAAAGUGUUAUAAAUCUGGUUUUUGUUAUUUCGGAUUGGCAAGGAGUUCAUAAGAUUUCCUCACAAUCGCAUACAAACUACACAGCUUCCCUUCGAGCUGCAAUUCAAGCUGGAAUUAUUAUGGUCAUGGUCCCGUUCAACUUUACCAAGUUUUUCAAAUGAUCUUCUGUUCCUGGUGAAAAGCAAGCAAUUUCUUUCACCCGAAUUGAUGAUGCCGUCAGAAGAAUUCUGCUUGUCAAAUUCACAUUGGGUCUUGUUGAGAACCAUUUGGCUGAUUACAGUUUUUCCAAUGAACUAGGCUUAAGCUACAAAAAUAAUUCUUUUGUAGUAGAUAAUUCUUGAGGCUAGCUAGCAGUGAAUGUUGGUCCCGUCUUCCGUCCUAAUCAAAUACACAUGUCUACAACAUCGCAUUCUAAAUGAUGUACAUGAUAAGUUUGUGAGGACCGUUUGUUAGGA